rnacentral:sRNA from 1 species
UCCAACCUGGGUUGUUCGCCAGUCGGUGAUGUCCCUGAGCCGAUACUCUUUUUCCAGGGAAGCACAAAGCAUGCGGUGCGCAGGUCCGUUCACGGAAAGCCUAAUGUAUGUUUGCGUUUCCCGCCUUGAA